UACUACUGGAACGGUAGCUAAUACCGCAUAACGUCGCAAGACCAAAGAGGGGGACCUUCGGGCCUCUUGCCAUCAGAUGUGCCCAGAUGGGAUUAGCUAGUAGGUGGGGUAACGGCUCACCUAGGCGACGAUCCCUAGCUGGUCUGAGAGGAUGACCAGCCACACUGGAACUGAGACACGGUCCAGACUCCUACGGGAGGCAGCAGUGGGGAAUAUUGCACAAUGGGCGCAAGCCUGAUGCAGCCAUGCCGCGUGUAUGAAGAAGGCCUUCGGGUUGUAAAGUACUUUCAGCGGGGAGGAAGGCGUUGAGGUUAAUAACCUCAGCGAUUGACGUUACCCGCAGAAGAAGCACCGGCUAACUCCGUGCCAGCAGCCCGCGGGUAAUACGAA
rnacentral:rRNA from 1 species